UACGAAGGGGGCUAGCGUUGUUCGGAAUCACUGGGCGUAAAGGGCGCGUAGGCGGCCGAUCAAGUCGGGGGUGAAAGCCUGUGGCUCAACCACAGAAUUGCCUUCGAUACUGUUUGGCUUGAGACCGGAAGAGGUUAGUGGAACUGCGAGUGUAGAGGUGAAAUUUGUAGAUAUUCGCAAGAACACCAGUGGCGAAGGCGGCUGACUGGUCCGGUUCUGACGCUGAGGCGCGAAAGCGUGGGGAGCAAACAGG
rnacentral:rRNA from 1 species